rnacentral:ncRNA from 1 species
UCUGCAACUCGACUCCAUGAAGCUGGAAUUGCUAGUAAUCGCAGGUCAGCUAAACUGCGGUGAAUACGUUCUCAAGUCUUGUACUCACAAAUAAGUGCGCCCGGCAGCGUAUAAUACUAAGUGGUUAAAAUCCACU